UUUUAAAAACAGCCUAAUUAUCCUAAAGGUACCAGAUCCCAUCUGAACCUGGAACUUAAGGGGGAUCAUACCUGGUCAGUACUUGGAUAUGAGACUGCCAAUGACCAGGUGUUAUAGGAU
rnacentral:rRNA from 11 species